rnacentral:rRNA from 1 species
GAACCUGCCUCAAAGAGGGGGACAACAGUUGGAAACGACUGCUAAUACCGCAUAAGCCCACGGCUCGGCAUCGAGCAGAGGGAAAAGGAGCAAUCCGCUUUGAGAUGGCCUCGCGUCCGAUUAGCUAGUUGGUGAGGUAACGGCCCACCAAGGCAACGAUCGGUAGCCGGACUGAGAGGUUGAACGGCCACAUUGGGACUGAGACACGGCCCAGACUCCUACGGGAGGCAGCAGUGGGGAAUAUUGCACAAUGGGGGAAACCCUGAUGCAGCGACGCCGCGUGGAGGAAGAAGGUCUUCGGAUUGUAAACUCCUGUUGUUGGGGAAGAUAAUGACGGUACCCAACAAGGAAGUGACGGCUAACUACGUGCCAGCAGCCGCGGUAAAACGUAGGUCACAAGCGUUGUCCGGAAUUACUGGGUGUAAAGGGAGCGCAGGCGGGAAGACAAGUUGGAAGUGAAAUCUAUGGGCUCAACCCAUAAACUGCUUUCAAAACUGUUUUUCUUGAGUAGUGCAGAGGUAGGCGGAAUUCCCGGUGUAGCGGUGGAAUGCGUAGAUAUCGGGAGGAACACCAGUGGCGAAGGCGGCCUACUGGGCACCAACUGACGCUGAGGCUCGAAAGUGUGGGUAGCAAACAGGAUUAGAUACCCUGGUAGUCCACACCGUAAACGAUGAUUACUAGGUG